GACGAACGCUGGCGGCGUGCUUAACACAUGCAAGUCGAACGGAAAGGCCCUGCUUUUGUGGGGUGCUCGAGUGGCGAACGGGUGAGUAACACGUGAGUAACCUGCCCUUGACUUUGGGAUAACUUCAGGAAACUGGGGCUAAUACCGGAUAGGAGCUCCUGCUGCAUGGUGGGGGUUGGAAAGUUUCGGCGGUUGGGGAUGGACUCGCGGCUUAUCAGCUUGUUGGUGGGGUAGUGGCUUACCAAGGCUUUGACGGGUAGCCGGCCUGAGAGGGUGACCGGCCACAUUGGGACUGAGAUACGGCCCAGACUCCUACGGGAGGCAGCGGUGGGGAAUAUUGCACAAUGGGCGGAAGCCUGAUGCAGCAACGCCGCGUGCGGGAUGACGGCCUUCGGGUUGUAAACCACUUUCGCCUGUGACGAAGCGUGAGUGACGGUAAUGGGUAAAGAAGCACCGGCUAACUACGUG
rnacentral:rRNA from 1 species